UUUAAAGUGCUGAAAGUGUGACGAAGUGUGACAAGGGGUGGGGAGGGUUCCAUGAUUUUGUGACAUAUUUCAAAUAUAAUAUAUCUAAUUGUUAGUU